rnacentral:lncRNA from 1 species
GGAAGACAAUGGAAAGAGGGAGGGAAGUAUGACGGAAUUAGAACCCUUAGUGGCUAUAAAAAGGAGGACUUCUGCUACCCAGAGGAACCAACCCAUUUCCAGAGCUCGACCAAGCAUUGUCAAGCAGCUGGAAAAUCUACUCAAGCCACCCCAUCUCCUCCUCCAUUCGUUUUCUUCCUCCAUUAGGAAGGAAAUCAGCCAAAUCUUCCUUUGCUUGCUCUAAACCUCCAUCCUCCAUAGGAAAAUUCAUCUCUCUCUCUCUCUCAAAAUUGCUAAACCUGUGAAAGCCUA